UCCCUCCUCCUGGAUCCCCCUGCUCCUGGAUUCCCUGCUCCCCCCUUUGUCUCUCCCGUGCCCCAUCACCUCAGGCCCGGCCACGUGCUGUGUCUAGCAGCUCGAGGCAGGGCCUCUCUCCAUCCCGAAUAAACCUUAUCCGCCAAGAGCAACCAACAGAGAUCUCUCGUCUGUAUCCACCCAAACCGUCCUGGAGCCCUCAUACGUCUUUACAGUCUCCGACAGCCACCCAUGACUUCUUGUCACCCUUGGGGCUACGCUGUUGUGCCACCAGGCCUGGGGAGCAGCAGCACACAUACAGAUGUUCACUUCUCACUUCAGUAGAAAUGUGACAGGCUUUUAUCGUAAUUUCUGCAUCUUUUAAAUCUCACUGUAAAAUAGUGAGCAUGCAGUAACAGAAGGAAGAAAACUCUGGUUUUUUUGAACGCUUGUUACUUCUCUUCGCCUUGGCACACAAUAACUGUGUUCUGUAAAUUUGUGCAGUUUGGUUCUGCAAGGUCCUGAGCACCCUCCAAAUCUUGUUGGUUUCAGCAGUGGAUCAGCAGUUCACUGGCCUGAAACAUCUGUGGGAUAACUGCUAAAGCUUGGUUGGCUUCUUCUUGGAUGCAGUUUUAGCCCCUGAGUGAGUCACUUUGUCCUCACCCUCACCCCGCUUCUGAGUGCUUGUCCUGCAGAUGAGCAGUGAGGUGUUGUUAUCUAAACUUCAUUGCCUGAAAGGAGGUAUGAGCAGAAGUGGUCUGAUCAUUUGAAAUGCCUUGACUAGGUAAUGAUGUCCUGGACCAGGCUGGAAGGUAGCAGUUCUCUUGCUUUUUGUUUUAUCUUUUGUGAUUUUUUAGUAUAUUUCCACUCUCUGCACUAAAUUUCAGAUAUAAUAUUUGAUAUUUUUUAGAAAGCAGAUAUUUUUCAGUGUCCUAAAAUACAAUUGUGCAGAAACUUCAAGCAGCCUGAAACGUGCAAUUCCCAUUUUCUUUUUGGUAGGAUAUAGGAAGAAAGAUAAAUGAAGUAACCAGUUAUUUAGGCCUAAAUAUUAUUUUCAACUGGAUGCUGAUGUAUAUCACUUGAUUCCAGCAAAUUCUGCCAAGCAAAGUGACUCUUCUGGGGUUUCUUUGGCUGACUUGUUUAUUGUGAGUGAAAAGAAUUGUUUCAAUGAUUUUCUUCCUCGGAUGGUUCUGAAUUGACUUUAUUACUUUCUGAAAUUGAUUGUUAUUGUGCCUAUCUAGGCUGCCCUUGUAUCUCACUACAGGUCUUUAUUUUCAAUGUGUGUGUGUGUAUAUGUAUAUUUAUAAAUACUUGAAAAACUUAUAAAAUGGCGUUACACAUCUGUGCCACUCUGUAAGCUUAUUUCCCUUCUUCUAGUAGACAAAUCUUGAAUGGCAGUGUAAAGUAAUAUCUUGUUAGUUUUAUGCAGCCUGCAGAUUUGAUUAAAAUGUGGUGAAAAAGUGCCUAUAGUACAUAUGAGGAAGUGAGGGCAAGCCUUUCCUGAAUCAUGGUGUGGAUCUCACAUGAGGAUUGCUGGGAGAAGCUGUAAAAGCUAAGUGAUGUGUAUUAAUAGAACUGUGCUAAAGAUCAUGGGAAAGUGUUUUAUUAUAUUCCUGAAAUAUUGUAUCUUUUUUUAAAAUAGUAAUUUGAAAUGGCAAGAAGAAAAUGAAGUCUGGAAAUUAAUUUGAUGUUACAGUGUAACUUUGCUGAGAUCUUACGGUGGGGCCCAUAGCACAAUUAAUACUUUCUUACACAGUGCCAGAGUGCUUGACAGCUGCACCAUCUGCCUUUGUGUGGGAUAGAUGGGAUUUUAUCAAUAUUUAUUUUAUAAUUAACCCCUACAGUGCUGGUCCACAUACAGGGGGGAAAAGGUUUAGAUGUUGUUAGUUACUGAAGGGUUGGAAGCAGGGUGUGGGCUGGGUAUGGAGGGUGGUACUGCAAGGUGUAGAUAUUUUGGUAACUGCGAAGCAGAGCAAGAGCCCACUUUCACAGGGAUUGGCUCUUCUGUUGUGGAGGGAUAUCUUGAGCUGUGAAUACAGACUUUGGGUUAAAUGAGCAUUGCUCAUUUCCACGUGCACCCACCUGUGGGAGCUGGAAGAUGGGAGCUUAGCAAAGUACAGUAUGCUAAGUAUACCGGAUUCCUGUGGUGUCUAGUCUCAACUGAGCUGAAACUGCAUCUUCUUCUGUACUGAUAGGGUUUCUUUCUUUUGCUUUGUUACUAUUCUUACUAAACAGUUAGGAAGUUAGUUGUUAGCCAGGUCUCUUUUCCUUGACUUGAAGGGCAGUGACUUGGUGGGAUAAAGAAAUAGAGAUUGUACAUAACAAUAUUAUGUACACUCAUAUAUAACAAGACUAGCUAUGCCACAGCAGAGUCUAAGGAUAUCCUGGAGCUGAGGUCUUCAGCCUGCCCCCGUUCUCAGUGAUUUUGGGUAGAUGACAAGCCAGGCUGUGCUCCUGUGAUUGUACUUGGCUUUGGUGUAUUGGUAUUGCAGAGCUGUUUGUUCUGGUUGAAUCAUUAGGUAUUAGUGAUAGAGGCAGAUACUGUGUGUAGGGUUCCUGUUGAAUAUUCCCCUUAGUGAUUUUUAGCUUUAGCUGGGAGAUUGGCAUGUGACAUGUGUUCUCCUCUGCUGUCAUUACUACCUCCCUUCAGGGUUAUCAUUGAACUCAACAGGAGUUUUAGCACAGAGUUCAGGGAAAGUGUGGUAGGCCAGUGGACUCUUUGCAAAUCUAUCUUUUUAGGAAAUAACUUUUUACACUGAUGUAAUGAUAUCUUAAUAGAGCAAUAGGUUGCAGGCAAAAAAACCAAAAGCACAUGUACUUCUCAAUUUUUUUCCCCUGCAAGAUAGAUGGGUAAAAGUCAGUUUAGGUUAAUUAUCUUUAAUUUACCCUUCUUUCUCACAAUUAUUCAGUUUUGUUCAGGAGAUGAUAGGAGACACCUUACUCUUUCUUCUGUUCCAAGCAGUGAGAACAUCCUUAGGGAAAUUAUUACUGGGUGAGGCUGAAGACUUGCUGACCCAGUGUCUUGUCUCUAGCAGUAAUUAGCAACAGAUGUGGUGAUAGGAAAAGUAGUAUGAGAACAAUGGCACAUUUGUGAUCUUCUGAUGUAAAGACUUUCAAAUCUGGAGAUAAUAUCUGGACUGUCAGGUUAAAGCUACUGGUGGACCUUGUGUUAUGGGAAUUCUUGUAGUUCUUUUUGAAUGUCUCUGGCUUCUACACCAUUCUACUACAGCAAGUUCCCUGACACUCUAAGUUGUGUGCAAAAACACAUCACUGUGCUUGUUUUUGACCCUUGUAUCUGCAAGUAGUUCAUUGACUUCCCUUAUUUGUGGUAUUAGGAGGAGUACUGAAUAAUUAUUUCCUGUUACCUAUUCUGACCUUCUUCAUACUCUUACCAAUGCUAGGCAUGUCAAAGCUCUCUCUCUGAUGUCUAUUCCAAGUUGAAUUUGCUGCUUAAUAAUGGGGCUUUGUGCCUGUGGGCUCCUUUACCUGCAUGCCUUGCAGCAGGAUGCUGCCUCUGUGCUCUCUGACCAGUCCUCAGGGGUGUCAUGGAGGCAAGGGGAGAGACAGAACAGUCACUUUUCUUCCCCCAAUGUUUCCAGCUCUCUCAACUGGUGAAAACAACUAAGCUGGGGAUCCUGUUUUUGCACUGACUUGCCAUAUGACCACUGAUGAAAUGCUUGGGCUCAGUUCUGUGUAUCAAGAAGCCCCCCAGGAUGGGAGAGGAGUGGGACCAAGGUGCUUGCAUGCUGCUGUAAAGGAGCAAUGAUGCAACCAGAGGUGCUGACAGCAUUACUGAACGGCAGCUUGUAGGGAAGAUGCAGCACCAAAUUGAGUAUUGGGUUUUGGCUGAAGUCCCAUGUCAGUCCUUGAACCAAAGGUCAUGCUGGUUCUUCUGACUACUUGUGGACCUGGCCCAUGAUCCCUUCAGACCAUGGUUUGUAGGGUGAGGACAGGAGCACUGAGCUGUCUUUCAUUGCAUGGCAGGCAGAAGAACCUGAGAUGUGCCCCAACAUUGUGGGAACUGAGCCUGCAUAAGUGUGUAAAAUAGCCUUGACUAGGGACUGCAUUUAUCUUCAGGCUCUAAUUAAGAUCUUUACAUAGCCCUAUCAGCUAUGUAUGAUGGAAAUAAGAUAACAAGGUCAAUAAACAGAGAAACUCAGAAUUUCUGAGCCAGCCUGUUCAGAACACACCAAACAACAACCACACUCAGGCAUUUGUUUUGAGUAAAUUAAAGCAAGGCAUAAUCUGGAAAAAAUGGAAGCAAUGGGUAUAGUUACAAUUAUCUAUUUUCUAAUCUCUUUUACACCUUGCUUCUCUUCAUCCUGUUAGCGUGUUGGUGAUAAAUGAGGGCAGGAUCAUUGAACAACCCUGAGUACUGCUAUGAAUGGAGCUGAUGUUAUGUGCUGCUGUAUUUUCAGAAAUUUUUUUUCUUUAUUCUUUCUUCACUUUCCUUGACUUGUCUGCUUUCCUCUGUCUUGCCCACCCAUCUCUUUUGGUUUGAGAAUCACAUGGGCCUCUUGGAUAAAGUGUUGAAAGCCUGUACUGAUCACUUAAAGAAUUUUCAACAGCUCUAACAGGGAGGAAAAAGUUCUUAAGGUCCUUUCUGACUGGUUGUUGUAACUGCUUUGCAUUGUGACACACGAGUUUAACUCUGCUUUAGCAUCCUUGUGUUGCUGGGGUGCCAUUCACUGGGACUGCCACCACUCUAAAGUCCCUCUGCCAUGUGAUGGGGGAUGUGCUGCAGAGCAGCAAUGUUUGAGGGUCUGGUCUCUUCAUCAGUGUCUUUCUAGGCAAAUGCAAGCGUGUUGUGAUACCAAGCCCGUGCAAGUGGAGAGGUUUUCGCCUGGAGGUUCAUGCGGCUGACACACAGCAAUACCACUUGUGGCAGGGCAUGGGUGUAAUCCUAGGACAGCCCUGGAGCAGGGAGGCAGAGCAGAUGUCUGGGCCCUGUCCAGUAGCUGAAUGUAAUGUGGGAACGAAACUGAAGGAUUUUAUUGUCUACAGGGCAAUGUAAAUAUAAAAAUAAAAAGAAACCUCUUGUCUCAGCCUUGUCUCCUACUCCCUCCAUCCAUGCUUCCCUGUGGCUUCUGAGGGAUAAAGUAUUGGUGGAGAAAUCAUCACAUCCUUUGAAACUGCCCCAUCCUUGGUAUGUGGCUGGCCAGCACCAAGAGAGCCUUUUAGAUAACUGAGGAGUUGAUCCAGUCCAAGGCCAUUAAGGAGGAUGCAGAAAAGGAGCUGUUAUUGUUGCCAAAGAGAAAAUACAACUGCUUAACUUGUGACAAAACCAGCCAUGGCUCAGGGUUAUGCCAAGCUAACCUGGAUGAGUCCCUCAGCUUCCUGACUUCAGAAAUUAUUGUGGUCUGUCUGAACGUCCUCACCUAUGGUGGAAGGGCUUUCAGCUGAUGGCAUUCAUACAGCAGGAGCACAAAGAUGCUGCCAAAAUUGAUCACUGGGGAGGGUAAUAUCAAGGUCUGUGCAUUCCUAGAGGUGGGAUGAUGCAGAGUAUGGGUAGGUUUACCCAGCAGAGCCAAGCUCUCCACUACUGAUAGUCUCCAGCCUCCUCAUUUCCUGCCUCCUCUCUCUGCUCUGGUACCCUUCCUGAAACAAUUAAAGAGGAGGGGAAAGGAAACAAAACCCAAAAGCCCUCUCAAACCACUGUGUGGGAUUCAACUAAACUUUUUUGUUGGGCUGGAAUGAAAGGUUUCCUGUAGGUUCUCUUUGUUUAUUUAUUUUGUAUAGCUGUUUUAAAUUGCAUUUAAAUAAAUUAAAAACUUUGUAAUGAAUUUGUUUUGUUUGGAAGAUAUUUCAAUGGAGACAGUGUUGGCUGUGUGUUUAAAAAUGAGAAGGGGACAUAUUGUUUAAAUGUUGCUUUCCAGUUCUGGUGUGCCUUACAUAUUGCUUUGUUCAGUGUGAAUCUGGAUAAGUAACACAUUUGAUUGAAACAACUGCCACAGACUCCUGCCUGUGACUUUGAAGUUCAGUAAAAUUGCAGCACCUCUUUUUUUAAUUCUGAUAAUAAAUAUGGUUUAAUUUUAGAAGCAUGAUGUUUUGUCAUGUCCUUGCCUGGCACAAGAUACAUAGAAAUAAAAUAAAGUCUCAUUAUUUACCAGCUUCACCAUGCUUUGUGUGUAUGUGUUGAAAGGGAUGGUGAUGCAGUAAACAGUCACAAAAAUUACUCUAUAACCUAGGGGUCCUGGACACAAGCCAUGCUAGGGGGAGGUGAAGCAAGGAUAAUUUCCAGGACUGUCUCCAUGUGUGACAGAGUCAUCAACAAGCAUCAGAAUAAUUUUAUAUUUGAUUGUGUUUUCUUGUUGCCACUGGUGAAUAAGGAUGGAAGCAGAAAAGGCUGCUCAUAAAAUGCCUCAUGUCUGUCAGCAGAGCCUUUGAAAUCUUUUUCCUAUACUGCUGUAAGGGUGGGGCUUUUUUUGCAAAAGGUCCUGUCUCUCAAGAGUCCUACCCUAGUCUGGAAAGCCUCUGCUGACUGUGUUCUGAAUCUGUCAGGCUUUGUGUCUGCUAGGACAGUCUCUUGCAUAGUUCUGUGGCUUUUCUUUAAAGUUAUCACUGCAGUGAGAGAUAUGGUUGGGUGGUGACAAGGCAGGGAAGACUGAUGUGAUGUUUUCCCCUCAUGGAUGUGUUGUGUUCAGGGACCUCUCAACACACUGCUGAAGCUUUCCUGACCCCUUUGGUUUUGGAGCAAAGACCAAGACUGAGCCAGUUUCUAAAUUUGGCUCAUGUUGUGUGUCUCCUGCAAGGCAUGUGCUGGAAUCCCUGUCUGAGAAAGAAAUUAAGGAGGAGGGGGUGAGCACCUUGCCUGUAGGUAAGGAAUGGGACAGUGGGUGAAAAAACAGUUUAAAGUUGGUGUGACAUGAUGCAUUGUAGGCAGGUUUUUAGGAGCUGAUCUUCCACUUUUUAGAUGGCUCAUUUGUUUAAUUCUAGUCAGCUCAGUGAAUUAAACUUUUUCGCUUCACCUCACUUAACUUCUGUGUGCAGAGAGGCCUAAGCAAUUGAUAUGACUUUUGCUUUUUGUGGCUGUUAUUUUCUCAGGCGUGUUUUUGAUUACUGUUGUCUCUGUUGCAGUUGUUUGUUCUUCUGCAAAAAGGGUGCUAAGUACUUGUACUCUGUAUGUAUUUUAUUCCUUUGUCCUCACAUACAUCAGUCUGCAAAAAAAAAAAAAAAAAAAAAAAAAAGACAAGGAGGAAAGUCAGAGAAGCAGGGUUCCCUCCUUGUAGACUGUUCUCCUCAAGGGAUGGAUUCUCAUCCAUCUCUUAAAAAGUAUUAAAACCCGGAAAGCAAUAUGUUACUUUGGAUUUUCCUUGGAAGUUACUUAAUUAGAGAUUACAGGAGAGUUGUGUCAUUGAGCAGCUGAAAAAACAACAAUGCUUGUGAUACUGCAUCUGUGCCAUUUCUGUGCUUGGCUUUUGGCAGAAAGCCUGACUUGCCCAAGGUGUGAUAAUACUCUGGCAAGACAACGUGUGUUGUUGCACGUGUGUGACAUAGAUCCGCAAGCCAACAACGUGGCGUGGCUUCACCAAAGUAACCGUAACCCCAAAUCCUUUUUUCCUCCUCAUUUCCACCUGUAGCAGUAAACAAACACUUUGGAUUUGAUUUCUGUAACAAUAUUAUGAUGUGCCCAUCUUAUUACAGGCUUCUGCUGAAGCCUCAGUGAGUAGCAGCUGACGUGCUGUCUGCAGCCUAUGUAGGGAGGUAGUGGCGGGGCUGAUUGGCGUGCUGUCUUCUGCCUGUCUGCUGGUAUUAGUAUUCAUAUCAAAGCAAGCUGUUUGGUUCCCUUUCUCCUGGGCAACUGCAGGAGUCAAUCACUGCUUCCUGUUGUGAAUGGCAACAAAGAGAAACUGUUCAUUGAUUCAGAGCAAAAGAGCCCAAGUGGAUGCUUUGAUUUCAGAGAAACUCUGCCCUGCAAGGGAUCUGCCAGGUUAGACUGCCAGUGUUUUUGCAAAUUUUGUCCAAAUUGUGACUUUAAAAGUGUUUUGGCAAUAGAGUGAAAGACAAGCAGGCAGGCCUCGUGGAUAAUUUUACAGGAAUAACUAUGACUUUUAUGUGCCAGUGUAAGACCUAUGAUUCCACGAUGAGAGUCAGACCAUAAUUAAAUAUCUAACUCUCUAGUGGGGCUGUGCUGGUGGUAAAUGGGGUAUUGACUUUUGGCUCGUAUUUUGACUAUAACUACAAAUACAAUGUAAGGACUUCAGCAAAUCCCAAUGCCUAAGGUGGUAAUGUAUUCUGUAAAUCAAUAAUAUAUUAGUAAUAAAAAUGACCAAAGCAUGCAUCCAUUAGGAAUUCAUAAUAGAAAUUUGUUUAGGUUAUAUAGUGUAUGUAUUGAUUGCUGCUAUUUAAAGAUGAAGUAUGGCUUUGGAGCAGAGUGCUUAUAUAUGUAGCUGUCUACAUUUUAAAUUCAUUUAUUUUUAAUAUGAAGAUGGACUUGAUAACAUGGGAAAAUAUGUAUGAAUAGAAGUCAGUAUUUUAUAUUGCAAGCUGUUAUGGGGAUAUAAGUGUGCUGAGAAGCCACAAGUAGAUGCCUGAUGUUUCUGAAACCUAAAUCUUGGACUUCAGAAAAAUAAUAAGUAAUAGACGUGGCAGCCUCUAUUUGCAGCUCCAGUCUUCCAGGUAGCUUAAGUUUUUCUUGGCUUGAUGCCUUAACUUGAAUUGCUUACCUGUCCAUUUUGUGGUAGAGUGUAUAAUGUAACCAUGUGUAAUAUAGCAAUGAUGCAUAUAUAUAUAUAAAUACAUAAAUAUAUAUAUAUAUGUAUAUAUAUGCUGCUUUGCCUGACUGGCAGGGAUGGAUCUGGGGUAGAGAGCUGCCAGCAGAACACAGACCUUGCUUCUCUGCAGUGCUGUUGGCUCUCUGCAGCUCCCACAGCUGGCACCAGGGGCUGCACAGCCAGGGUUGGCUCAUGGGACAAUGCCAGGGUAGGGAGCACCUGCAGCACCAUAACUGGGAAGUAGGAUUUAGGGAAUAAUGCCCCCCAACCCAUCCCAGUAACAUCACACCAGGUCCCUACAUGUCCCUGAUGCUGAUUUAUUAUUAUAGGGUGUACACUAGCUAAUUACACUGAGAGGGCAAUUAAUAUACUUUACAGAAUUACAUUGGUUUAUUAGAUAGCCAUAGUGGAAGGCUGAAUUAAAGGAGAAAACAAUAAUAACAACAACAAAACAAACAAACAAAAAACAAAACCCCAAAUAACAAAAAAAACCCAACCAAACAAAACCCAACACAAACCCCAAGACAGACAAACCUACUAAACACAUAGUGCCAUACCUACACUUUCAUCCAUCCUUCUAAACUUUGGCUAAUUAUUCCAGGUCCAGUGCAUCUGCAUUGUUACCUUCUGUAAGGACAAAGGGUGGAGAAAACAAGUCACAUGCCGUAACUGCAGUCUUUGUCUCACUGCAGCAAAUAAAAGAUGUUUUAGAUUUCACAGGUUAUGAUUCAUUAUGAAAACAAAGCAAGCCUCUGACUGAAAAUCCCAUCUGUUGGUUUGCAUUAAGCAGUUCCCUUCCUCCUCCUUGCCAUUUUUUAUUCCUGGGCAUUCAAGAAGCUGUCCUGAAUUGUUUUUGUUUUUUUUUUUAAUAUUUGCAAACACUAAUGGCAGUAUACAAACCUUCUCUUUGUGGAUAAGCUCAGCAGCUCUGCAUAAGAGUUUACUGGAGGUUUUGUGUUGUUUGUUUUUUUUUUUUUUUGUGUUGUUUGGGGUUUUUUUGUUUUUUGUUUUUGUUUUGUUUUUGGGUUUGUUGGUGUUAACCUUUUUAGAGUGUGGUCUUUUUUGGGUUUUUUGUGGGUUUUUUUUUUUUUUUUAACUCUAAGUUAAUAAAUUCAGUAAGUUCCAUGCAGCUAAAUGCCCCUUUCCUCUUCCUAUUCUCUUUCUCCCAAAUCUACAUAGAUCCUUAAAAUAAAAAGAAACUCCUAUGAUCAACAAGCCAGACUUUGCACAGUAGAGAUCUCACCUAGUGAUUUGUGAAUCAGGCAUCAGUGUGUUCCAGAAAAAUACUCAGCCAUUGUUUAGGUACUUCAGCUGAUGAAGAACAAAUCAUAUAUAUAUAAGUAAACUAUUCCAUGGUAAAUUGCUCACAUGGUUAAAAAUAUUACCUUAUUUCUAUCUCCAUGUAUCAGACUUCAGCUUUCAAAUCCUGGCUCUAACUUCCCUUUUUCCACUAGAUUAAAGAGAAAUAUCUUCCCUUGGUAGUUACCUGCAGACUAGGAUAGUCUUUUAGACCAGUUAAACAGUCUAAGUCAUUUUGGUGGCUCACUUGUUAAACUGCCUUUCCAGGCUCUACUUUAUUUUUUUUUUUUAGGUUCUUUUGCAAACCUUUAGAGUUUCUGACAAACCCUCUGAAGUGUAGGGUACCACAAUGUGUACAUAUUCCAAGAAUGAAUGGUCUCAUUGACACCAUAUACAGGGCAAUUUCAUCAUCCCACUUCUACUUAUUAUUCACCUCCUCAUACUUGCAGAGAUCAUGUUUGCCCUUUGAGCUACUGCAUGUUGUUCAAAUUGUUAUCAGUUAUGGAAACAGUCUUGUUUCAGAGUGACUGCUUGCAAGUCUGUGGUCUCACAUAAUGAGCACUUCUUGUAUUCUUACAUGGACUUGAAUUUGUCUGUGUUCAAGCGUGGUUUGCUCAGGUAUUGUGUAGAUCAAUCUGCAAAACCGACAAGGUCUGUGUCAUUAUUUAACAUUUCAUCAGUUUUUGCACUGACUGCAAAUUUGGCAAUCUCCGAGUGUAUUUUCUCCCAGAUCAUCGACAAGUAUGUUGAAUGAUUUUGGACUGAUGAGGUUCUUGCUGAACUUCCAGAAAUGCUUCAGUUGAGAUGACAGUUCCACAUUUGCAUAGUUUUUGAGAAGCAACAGCUAAUGCAUUUUUCCUGUAUGCAAGUGGACUUACAUUCUGUUUUCACGCCUUUUUUUUUUUUUUUUUUUUAAUGCUUGUUAGUAGCAAAGUGCCAGUGCCCAGAAUCAAGCUAAAAAACAGCAGGGGGAUUCCUAAGAGGGUUUGUGGUUUCUUACAAACUCCCAUUCUUCAGACUGAAAAAUACUGGGUGUUUUGCUAUUAAUAUCUUUCCAAGUAUCUGCUAGAACAGAAAGCAUCUCUUUAUCUCUGUGAAUGAUGAAUAAUUCUGUUUGCCUCUUUCUAAAUACAGAUUGGAGAGAGUAUGUGAAUAUUUGUAGGGAGUUCAGUUUAUGCUUGAUAGCUGGUUCUUUCUGACCCACAAACCUUACUAGUUUAAAAACACUUUAAAAAUUCUGCCAGCAUAUUUUUUUUAGUUUGAUUUCAUUAGUAUUUUGAGCUUUUAGUGCUGCAUGUUUGUGUUUCCAAACUGUAAUUUGUACUUGUUAACAACACUGCUACAAUUUUUUCUAAUUUAUUUUUUGUAAGUGAGGGUAGAAUGUUUAACAAAAGAAGCCAUUUCUCAUGAUUGCAGACUUGAGGGUUUUGUCAUGUGGAAACAGACUUCUCAGUGUACUGUCUGCAUUUUUAAUCUUAAAUCUUCCUCUCUGUUUAAUUUUGUGCUAAAUAUUUUAACUUAUGAGGAAUUAUCCUGGCUAAAACCAUCAAAUAUUUGUAUACCAGUCCAGACUGUGAUCUUUGUUUCUUACCAAGUAAAAUUGGUUUGUGUUUAUUUGCUCAUAGAUGUCUGUGUGUUUGUUGAUGCUGGUGGUUUUGGUUUUGUUUGUUGUCCAGUUUUUUAGGAGUCACUUUUUGUUUGUUUGUGGUUUUGGUUGGGCUUUUGUUUGUUUGGGUUUUUUUGUCUGUGAUUAACACAAUCAAUAAGGACUAAUAUUAGAGUGCAUCAGAAAGAUUGACUCAACAAUAAACUUGUUCAGUGACCUUUUAUAUUUUGCCCAGAUUGUUACCCCUUGAAAAACUGUUGUUUUGUUGUUUUUUUUUUUACCCUACACAGUUUGAGGAGCUUUAUUACAGAAUAAUGGGGGGCAUUAGAAGAAUUGUAAGUAAAAAAAUUGGAUUUGUUUAAUGAAGAUUUUUCCUUGUGCUCUAAAAAUUCCUUUGGAGGGACAGUGGCAACAGAAUUCUUUCCUCAAAUAUGAAAAGGGAGCACAAGAUGAUGGAAAUAUGUAACAAUUUUAUUCUUAUAAAAAGCAGAAAAUUCUAAAUGAAGUAUAAAUAACUCUAGAAGAACAAUGCUUGAAACAGAUACAAAAGUAAAUGGAUAUUACAGAUGGAAGAAAAAUCCUUGAAAUAGAUCCUUUGUUAAAUAUAAGUCAGAUUCUAUUAAGUGCACUUAAAUGUACUGCAGCAUAAUUGCAUUAGAAAUUUAAUUAAUAAUCUCCUAGAAAGUUUUCUGAAAACCUUUCUCUGGUGCUUUUUUUUUUUUUCCUAACUUGAAAGAAUCCUUCAAAACCCUUCAGGGGCAAACAGGACAGGGGAUUUACCAAGUGCUAAGCAAGUGCUUGAUUUUCCAAGAGCCCUUUCUGUGCCCUUCAUCCUGAGCAUCUUCUGGUGUCACAGCAGUGCUGGGGCUUCAAAAAAGUCCUGCUCUCUCUCUCUCGCACCUUAUUUAUAGGGGAAGGAGGAAUGGACUCUUCCAUCAGGUUAUUUUGCAAAAAUAUUUCUUUACCUUUGGGCCCACUAUCUCUUUCUGAUGAGACUGGGCAAAUAUAUCCUGGUUGUUGCUGGCAGAGAGAUCAGCAAAAGAUUUACUUCUUUCAUCUGCCUCUUGAAGGAGGACAAUUUGAAACAAGUCUAGUUAUUGUGUUUAAAAAAAAAAAGAAAACAGCUAAAAAAGAGUCUUCCAUCCAUCACAGUUAUUUGCAGUGGUUUUCUCCUGAAGCAACUUAGAUAAUUUUUUUUCAGCCAUAUUUUCAUUGAACUGGUGUGCAUUGUGCCCUCAAGUGUAGCAUCUGCACCUGUUUGUUACUCAUGCUGCAUGACUAUCCUUUCGUGUGUCACUGUAGCUGCUGUUCCUAACCUGCACACAUUUCUUCUUCUUUUUAAAGUAUCCUUUGGGGUACGGACCCUCAUUUUGUUCAGCGUGCAUGUGGGUGUCUGCAAAGGAGCCCUACAGUUUCCCACAGAACAAGUAAUGAGUCAUGAUAUCCAGUGCUUUAGGGACUUCUAUAAAGCAGGGCUGGCUUUUAACCAGUACGAGGUUGGUGUUUUGGUUUUUUUUCUGAGCACAGUGUCUCUGUGACUACUCACACUUGUUAUUGCUACUUUUUAAAGUGCUUAUUAGGCUAUUGCUCACCGCUUUGAGGGAUGGAGAGGAAGAUUAAUAAUAACUUUUAUCCUGGGACACCUCCACAGCUGGUGGAGUGUGGGAGGGCAGGAUUCAGAGUAUUUUAUUGCAGAUAAAAAUAUUGUAAGGUGAGUUUGGCCAUACUGGUGUGCCCUGGCUGCCCCGGAUCUGCAGCGGGAGUCCUGGUGGUAUCACAGGGUAGCAUCCCCUCCCUACUACAAAGCUCAGAAGCUCUCAGCUUUCACAUGACUUUUCUGGGAGCAGUUGAUAAGUCCAGGGCAUUUCUGGGAGCCUACGGCUGCGCAUUAUUUCAGAUUUUGAAUUUUCUUUUUUUUUUUUUAUGUGACUCACCAUGAGAUGGGGGCAAUAUUGCAUGCAUGUAAGUAUUAUAUCAACACACACCCAUAUCUGGCUAUAUAGUGUUUCUGGAGCAAUAUUUGCACAGGUUAUAUUAGGUGGGGAAAUAAUUAAGCACAGUGCUUGCUGUGAGCAGGUGGCCACAAUAGGAAACUUCAUCACUCAAGAUUAUAGUUGUGUUUCCUAGAAGGUGAACCAUUUUCUGGAGGUAAUUAAUUAGCUUUAAUGUUUUGCUACUUUCUACUGGGGAGAAAGGGGUACUAUGGGCAAAAAUAUGUGAAUUCCUUGAAAAUCUGAUUUUACUUCAGGUAUAUUUCUACCUGGAACAAGUGUGCAUGUUUCAGUUCAUUCUUCAGAUUUAAUUCUCCUACUGUUCUUUAAGAUUGAGGGGAAGUAAAUAAAGUUGGCCACUGUUCAGAUGAAUGUAAAUGCUUCUGAAAAGCUCUUUGAAGCUGCUAGUAACUUCAAGGUGAAAUCCUUGAUAUUUUGAGGUCAAAGGAGGGAGUAAAUGUCAUACCGUUUGGGAGUCAUGAUUCAGAGGACUGCAAAGAAUAACCUGGCACAGCCUACUUGUAAUUCUUGUUAGUGUAUCAGCAAAAAAGGAUCUUGGAUCUCAUUCCAGUGUUCCUGGGAUGGAGCUCAUAUGUGGCAUGCUAUGGAAAACCUCAUCCAGGAGCUGGGGUCUGGGUUAUCUUUGAAGAUUACUCACAGGUAAUCUAUAGUAAGAAGUGCCCAUUGGUUUCUCAAAAUUCAACCCCAAAUGUCAUUUUGCCAUGUAGAAAACUAUGCUUGCCAUUUUGCCUGUU